AUUGAACGCUGGCGGCAUGCCUUACACAUGCAAGUCGAACGGUAACGGGCCUUCGGGUGCCGACGAGUGGCGAACGGGUGAGUAAUGUAUCGGAACGUACCUUUCAGUGGGGGAUAACGUAGCGAAAGUUACGCUAAUACCGCAUAUUCUGUGAGCAGGAAAGCAGGGGAUCGCAAGACCUUGCGCUGAUUGAGCGGCCGAUAUCAGAUUAGCUAGUUGGUGAGGUAAAGGCUCACCAAGGCGACGAUCUGUAGCGGGUCUGAGAGGAUGAUCCGCCACACUGGAACUGAGACACGGUCCAGACUCCUACGGGAGGCAGCAGUGGGGAAUUUUGGACAAUGGGGGCAACCCUGAUCCAGCCAUGCCGCGUGAGUGAAGAAGGCCUUCGGG
rnacentral:rRNA from 1 species